ensembl:lncRNA RNF217-AS1 RNF217 antisense RNA 1 (head to head)
GGGGCUGGGGAAGGAAGAGCGGGUGCUGGGAGGGUUCAACACUGGCGGAGCCCCAGGUGGCGACGCGGGCGGCGAGAGCUGCUCCGAGGCGGGGGCCUCGGGCAGGUCGCUCUCCACGCAGUACACGGAGCAGAAGACUUGUCUCUUGGCGAGGGACGGGCGCCGCUGACCCAGCACGUCCAGGACCAGUCCGUCGGCGGCCCCCACGCGGGUCCUGGGCUCCAGCUCUUCGCCGGGGGGCGCCUCCUGCUGUUCAUCCCCUCCCUCUUUUCGAUCCCCAGCUUCCUCCUCUUCCUCCUCCAGCUCCAACUGCAGUGGCAAGGUCUGGGGAUUGAGAGGCCCGGCAUGACUAAGAGAUAUCGUGAAAUUACAACUCAACAAUGAAUUACAGCACAGGCUUUUCACAACUAAGAGACUGUCCAUCAUGGUGCCAGUUUUUCUCAAAAUGGCAUGUGUGCAUGAAAUUCUACAGGCAUAUGGGGUCGUGAUCUGCUAAUCUCCAGUUAUUAUACAAAACUACAGAUACUUGAAAACAGAACCAAAUAAAAAUUCUAGCAGAAGAAGACAAUAUAUGAAAUUUAAUAAUUCAUUUCCUGGGAAUGACAGCAGAAAGGUGAUGACAGAGGAAAGAGCCAAUAAAAUUUGAAGACAGACUACUUUGAAAAGGGACUUUCCAGCUAUCAGUACACUAUCUCACAAUUACCCUUGAACCAGAAGACAAUGAAUGAUUUGCUAAACAGAUGGCAUAGUCUAUGACAUGCAUCAUAUGUGUGAGCAAUCACAGAAGACUCCUUCCUGUUGCCUUGUGAAGAAGGCUCCUGCUUCCCCUUCACCUUCUGCGCGAUUGUAAGUUUCCUGAGGCCUCCUAGCCAUGCUUCUUGUUCACUCUGCGGAACUGUCCUGAGCUGAAAAGAAUAUGAGAAAUCGGAUUUUACGACAUUGUGAAGAAACAUCCUGAAGUUAUUCACAGUGACUUCAAUGAACAACACAUCAGUAUACUUUUUACACAGGGGACAAAAGUAAAAGCCGGCUUGAUCAUUUACAAGGCUUUCACCAUGCCGCUGAGAUGUCAAGGACUACAAGUUGAUCUUCAGCCUCUUAAAAUAUGGCCUCGAAGCCUUUCAUGUCUUCAGUCAACUCCAGCAUUUUGACUGAUGGGAGCUGGUGUGUGUUUGUGUGCAGUGGGAGAGAGGACACAAUCCCGAACCUGACACAGCCUGUGCUUGGAGCAGCCUGCGCCUGCUGCCCUCAAUCAUUUAGGUAUAUACAAUGAACCUCACCUGAAACAAUGUUUGUACAAUCGCUAAUGCCAGUGGCUAAUCCUUCCUAUUUGCCUGCUUUAUCUCAACACUGUCAUCUGUUGAGGUGAAUAUCAAUAUUCAAACAACAAUAACAAAAGAUCCUGUCAUCAAAGUGGAAAUAAAUGAGUAUUUUAGAUUAUUUUAAAUAAUUUGGCCUAUAAAAAUAAAAAAAAAGCUCUGCCUAUAAUUUAACCAAGAUUUUUAAAUGUAGUGACCUAACCCUCUGCCAACUAUUAAUUAGCUUGAUGCUAACUCUAAAUCCCAGAUAGAAGGUGGGGGUGGAGGAAGGUUCCCCAAAUGAAAAGUCUAUUGCAGGCAGUCUUCUAAAAGAACCCUCAGUGUUAGCAGAUAAUGAAAGUACGUGUUACCUAUGACUGAGUAGAAAUGAUGCCAUGACCCGGCAAUUUCUUUUCACUGCUGACACAUCCCUGCACUGCACAAAAUAUCAGUGUUGCCUUCAUGUAAAUUUAAUAGGGUGUCUCUGUCAAUGACAUAAGCAAAUACACCAUGAGAAGCAGCAGGGGUUUUCAGGGAUGGCUCAGAAACUUAAGUAUUUUUCCAUUUAUUUUUAAAAUGCAAAUUACACUAGUAAGUCAAAAAAAUCAUUCUGUUAAAAAUACAUUCAGAAUUAACAAAUGCAAAAAAAAAGGACACAUCAGGAUCAUAACCCUUGCCUUCUGAAUAUUAAGUUUAUAACAAAAGCUCAGCCUAGAAAAAUAGCAUUCUUCACCGGAUUUUGAGGAGGAUACAGCUGUACAACUGUAGAUGUUUUCCCAGAUAUAAUCACACUACUGUGCUUACUGAUCCCAUAAAUGACCUGUCCACUGAUUACUUUUUAGUAGUCAACUACUGUUUUUUAAAAUUUUGGUGGUGAUGAUAGUUGUGAUUUGGUGAAAACUUGGCUGUAACUUAAAGCAGGAAUAUGAGGGUUUAUUUUCUGUACCCAUAUACAUGUACUAUAAGGUGAAAUCGCAUCACAGCAUGAAUGUACAGUGAAACCUCAUUUUUAAUAGUCACAUUAAAAGUCACAUUAGAAUAGUUUCUGGCAUGUAUAGUAUUUAUAUUUUAGGACUCAAAGGACAAUACAUUGGUAAAUAUUUUUCUCAUACAUUAAACAUGCAUGUCACUAUAAAAGCGUCAUAUGAGGUUUCACUGACAUGUUUGCAAUUGUUUAUUUUAUACAUG